CCCUUAGAUGUUCUGGGCCGCACGCGCGCUACACUGAUGCAUUCAACGAGUCUAAAACCUGCUCUGAUAGGGGUGGGUAAUCUUUUGAAUGUGCAUCGUGAUUGGGAUAGAUGAUUGCAAUUUUUCAUCUUCAACGAGGAAUGCCUAGUAAACGCAAGUCAUCAGCUUGCAUUGAUUACGUCCCUGCCCUUUGUACACACCGCCCGUCGCUCCUACCGACUGAAUGAUCCGAUGAAUAUCAUGGAUUGAGGAUGCAAGUAGGUUCGCCUAUCUUUAUCUUCGAGAAGUGAAGUAAAUCUUAUCAUUUAGAGGAAGGAGAAGUCGUAACA
rnacentral:rRNA from 1 species